GGACACUCUGCCUACCCAAGUGCACGGCAAGGUCACAUGGCAAGGGAAAAGUGGAAAACUACUGGAGGAUCCAAUAGACCUGGAGUCCAAAAAUGCAUCUGCCGGACUAAUGAGAAGGUCUGUUGAGCCAGUUGUCCCGGAAACUCGAGCCUCUCUGUCCCCUUUCCCUUCCCUCUAUCCAUCCCUUCUCUUUCUUCUCCAGGACUCAUUGGAGCGACUGUAUUG